rnacentral:lncRNA from 1 species
AAAGGAUGGAGAGGAAGAAGCCGGAAACAGAUGAGAGGACGGCUCAUAGCCCUGAAAGUCCCAGUUCAAGCUUCCACAAUCAUCCUACACAAGAGCACUGCUUCUCACAGGACUGCCUCAGCCUGGCAGGAUUCAGUCUCCUGCUCUGAGGGAAAAACAGGAAGUCAAGGAUCAAGACCGAGUGCUCAACUGAGAUCAGAAAGGAGGACACACAGUGACUUGGCCAAAUCACUGGAGAUUCACACAGCAGAGCUCAGACGAGUGCUAUCAGCACAGCUGAGGAAGACAACAGUUAGGGUGCAAGGAUCCUGAAAGAGAAACAUUGGUUGUGUUUUUAUUCCUUGGGUAUAAGAAUCCUGAAAGAGAAAGGCAUCUGAACCUUGGAGGCAUGGGGUUCAUCUCAUCCUCAUCCAGCCUGUGAUGAUGGAGCUGUUUUCACCAGAAACGUGAGGAGACUCAUACCACUUGAGUUCUGCUUAAAUUCAGCAUCUUCUCUCAGUUCAAAUUUAAGAAAGGAGAUACCACACCACCCACCGACAUAUCCCAUUCUGGAAGAGUAUACAAACUAAAGAUAGAAAACUUCUCAAAUCUACCUGGAAGCUUGCAUAUUCAAAGGGUAUGCUAAUCAAAGUACCUAUUCACAUAUAAUGUGUUGAAGGAUUUAAGUAGGCUAAAUGUAAUUAUGCCAGACUACCAUUAACCAAUGGAGACUAGGCUCAGAAGGCACUGAA